CAAUAGCGUAUAUUAAAGUUGUUGCAGUUAAAAAGCUCGUAGUUGGAUUUCUGGUCGGAAGCUCCUGUCCUCUGAUGAGCGUACAAGUGCGUCCUACCAUCCUUCUGUUAACCUUUAAGGCUUUCGCGGCCUUCUAGGGGCUCAGAUAUUUUACCUUGAGAAAAUUAGAGUGUUUCAGGCAGGCUAGCGCCGGAAUACAUUAGCAUGGAAUAAUGGAAUAGGACUUUUGCCUCUUCUGUUGGUCAUGAGGCUCGAGUAAUGAUUAAUAGGGAUAGUUGGGGGCAUUAGUACUUAACUGUCAGAGGUGAAAUUCUCGGAUUUGUUAAAGACUAACUUAUGCGAAAGCAUUUGCCAAGGAUGUUUUCAUUAA
rnacentral:rRNA from 1 species